rnacentral:rRNA from 1 species
AACGUAGGACGCGAGCGUUAUCCGGAGUUACUGGGCGUAAAGCGCGGGCAGGCGGUCUGACAAGUCUGAUGUGAAAUCUCCGGGCUUAACCGGGAGAGGCCAUUGGAAACUGACAGGCUGGAGGGCAGUAGAGGUAGGCGGAAUUCCGGGUGGAGUGGUGAAAUGCGUAGAGAUCAGCAGGAAUACCCGUGGCGAAGGCGGCCCCCUGGGCCGAACCUGACGCUGAGGCGCGAAGGCUAGGGGAGCGAACGGG